UACAUUCACUACUGUAAGUUGCUCUGGAUAAGAGUGUCUGCUAAAUGACUAAAA
rfam:Salmo salar isolate Sally breed double haploid chromosome ssa21, whole genome shotgun sequence.